rnacentral:rRNA from 1 species
UACAGAGGUCCCGAGCGUUGUUCGGAUUCACUGGGCGUAAAGGGUGCGUAGGUGGGCAGGUAAGUCAGUGGUGAAAUCUCCGGGCUUAACUCGGAAACUGCCAUUGAUACUAUCUGUCUUGAAUACCGUGGAGGUCAGCGGAAUAUGUCAUGUAGCGGUGAAAUGCUUAGAUAUGACAUAGAACACCAAUUGCGAAGGCAGCUGGCUACACGAAUAUUGACACUGAUGCACGAAAGCGUGGGGAUCAAACAGG